rnacentral:tRNA from 1 species
GUGUAAGGCUUAGUGGUAGAGCAUUCACCUCACAUGUGUAAGGCCCUGGGUUCAAUCCUCAGCAC